AUUGAACGCUGGCGGCAUGCCUUACACAUGCAAGUCGAGCGAUGAAGUUCCUUCGGGAAUGGAUUAGCGGCGGACGGGUGAGUAACACGUGGGUAACCUGCCUCAUAGAGGGGAAUAGCCUUUCGAAAGGAAGAUUAAUACCGCAUAAGAUUGUAGUAUCGCAUGAUACAGCAAUUAAAGGAGUAAUCCGCUAUGAGAUGGACCCGCGUCGCAUUAGCUAGUUGGUGAGGUAACGGCUCACCAAGGCGACGAUGCGUAGCCGACCUGAGAGGGUGAUCGGCCACAUUGGGACUGAGACACGGCCCAGACUCCUACGGGAGGCAGCAGUGGGGAAUAUUGCACAAUGGGGGAAACCCUGAUGCAGCAACGCCGCGUGAGUGAUGACGGUCUUCGGAUUGUAAAACUCUGUCUUCAGGGACGAUAAUGACGGUACCUGAGGAGGAAGCCACGGCUAACUACGUGCCAGCCGCCGCCGUAA
rnacentral:rRNA from 1 species